rnacentral:rRNA from 1 species
GACGAACGCUGGCGGCGUGCUUAACACAUGCAAGUCGAACGGAAAGGCCCUGCUUUUGUGGGGUGCUCGAGUGGCGAACGGGUGAGUAACACGUGAGUAACCUGCCCUUGACUUUGGGAUAACUUCAGGAAACUGGGGCUAAUACCGGAUAGGAGCUCCUGCUGCAUGGUGGGGGUUGGAAAGUUUCGGCGGUUGGGGAUGGACUCGCGGCUUAUCAGCUUGUUGGUGGGGUAGUGGCUUACCAAGGCUUUGACGGGUAGCCGGCCUGAGAGGGUGACCGGCCACAUUGGGGCUGAGAUACGGCCCAGACUCCUACGGGAGGCAGCAGUGGGGAAUAUUGCACAAUGGGCGGAAGCCUGAUGCAGCAACGCCGCGUGCGGGAUGACGGCCUUCGGGUUGUAACCCGCUUUCGCCUGUGACGAAGCGUGAGUGACGGUAAUGGGUAAAGAAGCACCGGCUAACUACGUG